rnacentral:lncRNA from 1 species
UCUAUUUUGAUGACCACCAUACAAAGCAACUGGAUUGAAAGAGGCAUCGAUGUUGAACAAGGAGUGACGGAGUAUAGCGGUGAACAGAAACACGAGACGAAGCAGCUCAAUAGGCAAAUAGAAGUCCUUUGGCCCAAUUGACAUGAAUAUUAGCACCAUACAGAACCUGAUUAUGAGCAUACCAGUUGGACCAUAAUAGAAUGACAAACUCCUUGGCUUUUGCU